rnacentral:rRNA from 1 species
AGGACGAACGCUGGCGGCGCGCUUAACACAUGCAAGUCGAGCGAGAACCCAGGCUUCGGCCUGGGGGAAAGCGGCGAACGGGUGAGUAACGCGUGGGUAAUCUGCCCUCGACAUCGGGAUAGCCCGGGGAAACCCGGAUUAAUACCGAAUAGCCCAACAGCUUUUCGGAGCGGUUGGAAAAGGUAGCUUUGGCCUCCGGUCGAGGAGGAGCUCGCGGCGGAUUAGCUUGUUGGUGAGGUAACGGCUCACCAAGGCGUCGAUCCGUAGCUGGUCUGAGAGGACGAUCAGCCACACUGGGACUGAGACACGGCCCAGACUCCUACGGGAGGCAGCAGUGGGGAAUCUUGCGCAAUGGGCGAAAGCCUGACGCAGCGACGCCGCGUGAGGGAAGAAGGCCUUCGGGUUGUAAACCUCUUUCAGGAGGGACGAAGCCACUCGGGUUAAUAGCCCAGAGGGUGACGGUACCUCCGAGAAGAAGCCCCGGCUAACUACGUGCCAGCAGCCGC